rnacentral:rRNA from 1 species
CCGGACCGGCGCACGGGUGAGUAACACGUAUGCGACCUGCCCCCCGCAGGGGGAUAACCGGGAGAAAUCCCGACUAAUACCGCGUAACGCCGCGGACCUGCAUGGGUCUGCGGCCAAAGGAAGCGAUUCCGGCGGGGAUGGGCAUGCGGCGCAUUAGCUAGUCGGCGGGGUAACGGCCCACCGAGGCGACGAUGCGUAGGGGUUCUGAGAGGAAGGUCCCCCACACUGGUACUGAGACACGGACCAGACUCCUACGGAAGGCAGCAG